AGUCGAACGGCAGCGCGGGGCAACCUGGCGGCGAGUGGCGAACGGGUGAGUAAUACAUCGGAACGUACCCAGAAGUGGGGGAUAACGUAGCGAAAGUUACGCUAAUACCGCAUACGUUCUACGGAAGAAAGUGGGGGACCUUCGGGCCUCAUGCUUUUGGAGCGGCCGAUGUCUGAUUAGCUAGUUGGUGAGGUAAAGGCUCACCAAGGCGACGAUCAGUAGCUGGUCUGAGAGGACGACCAGCCACACUGGGACUGAGACACGGCCCAGACUCCUACGGGAGGCAGCAGUGGGGAAUUUUGGACAAUGGGCGCAAGCCUGAUCCAGCAAUGCCGCGUGAGUGAAGAAGGCCUUCGGGUUGUAAAGCUCUUUUGUCAGGGAAGAAACGGCCGGGGCUAAUACCUUUGGCUAAUGACGGUACCUGAAGAAUAAGCACCGGCUAACUACGUGCCAGCAGCCGCGGUAAUACGUAGGGUGCAAGCGUUAAUCGGAAUUACUGGGCGUAAAGCGUGCGCAGGCGGUUUUGUAAGUCUGACGUGAAAUCCCCGGGCUCAACCUGGGAAUUGCGUUGGAGACUGCAAGGCUGGAGUCUGGCAGAGGGGGGUAGAAUUCCACGUGUAGCAGUGAAAUGCGUAGAGAUGUGGAGGAACACCGAUGGCGAAGGCAGCCCCCUGGGUCAAGACUGACGCUCAUGCACGAAAGCGUGGGGAGCAAACAGGAGUAGAUACCCUGGUAGUCCACGCCCUAAACGAUGUCUACUAGUUGUCGGGUCUUAAUUGACUUGGUAACGCAGCUAACGCGUGAAGUAGACCGCCUGGGGAGUACGGUCGCAAGAUUAAAACUCAAAGGAAUUGACGG
rnacentral:rRNA from 1 species